GGAUGUGAGGGCGAUCUGGCUGCGACAUCUGUCUCCCCAUUGAUCGCCAGAGUUGAUUCGGCUGAUCUGGCUGGCUAGGCGGGUGUCCCCUUCCUCCCUCACCCCUCCAUGUGCGUCCCUCCCGAAGCUGUGCGCUCGGUCGAAGAGGACGACCUUCCCGGAUAGAGGAGAGGACUGUUCUUCGGUCAAGGGUAUACGAGUAGCUGGAAUAUAAAUAUGAUUUAAAAAUAUACAAGGCACCAACCAUAAAGGAUAUGGAAGCUGAAGAAAACACCACUGGCUUCGCCAUGAUUUGUUUU
ensembl:misc_RNA 7SK 7SK RNA